CACAUAAAUUUUAUAUUAUAAAACCACUAAACAAUAAACACACAAAAGCACAAGAAAUACUUUCAUUUGAAUCUUUUUUUAUCAAAUCAGUUUUUAGAUCACAUAACCACAACAAUUUAAAUGCAAACUUUAUUUUCAGAUUUUAUAUAUAGUUAUUUAAUUUAGUCAUUUUUAAAUAAUUAUAGAUAAAGGAAAAUAUUGUUUUUAUUUGUUCUUUUUUGGCCCUUGAUUGAUUUUGAUCCAAAGGCUGAAAAUCACUCUUUUGUGAUCUUCGUACUUCCUUCUUAUUGGUCCAUUCUUCAAAUCUCAGAUUUCACUCUCUUCAUCUCUCUCACGAUUCAUCUCAUCUCACACACAAAUAUCUUCUCUGUAUCACUCUCUUCGUCAUCUCCUUUCUCUGUCGUGAGCAGAGAUGCUGGUCCGCGGUUGUGACCAGCGCGGUUGUGGGCAGCGCGGUCGUGAGCAGCCCCUGAGCAGAGUCGCCGGAAGUGGACCUAUGACGAAUCAGAGACUCCGCCGGUGAGGAUCAGAAGAAUAGGAAGACGCGGUGGCCACACCACUCAAUCUUCAUGUUUCGUUGGUGAAGGAAGAUGAAGAAGCUCAAUGGACUUGGUGGUUGACGGCGGCUGAGUUAGAAGAUAUGGAGUUUUUUUUUUUUUUUAGGUUUAGAUUUUUUUUGGUUUAGUGUAAACCUAAAAUUAGGGUGGUUUGACUUUGUUUUUUAAUUUUUGGUUUAGUUGUGUAAACCGGAAUGUAUAUGUAAACCAAUUUUAAUCUAUAAAUAAAAUUAUUUUAUUUUUAAUUAUAAAACAA